UACGGGGGGAGCAAGCGUUGUUCGGAUUUACUGGGCGUAAAGGGCGCGUAGGCGGCCACUGCAAGUCGGUUGUGAAAUCUCCGGGCUUAACCCGGAAAGGUCAAUCGAUACUGCAGGGCUAGAGUGCAGAAGGGGCAACUGGAAUUCUCGGUGUAGCGGUGAAAUGCGUAGAUAUCGAGAGGAACACCUGCGGCGAAGGCGGGUUGCUGGGCUGACACUGACGCUGAAGCGCGAAAGCCAGGGGAGCGAACGGG
rnacentral:rRNA from 1 species